UACGUAGGGGGCAAGCGUUGUCCGGAAUCAUUGGGCGUAAAGAGCGUGUAGGCGGCCCGGUAAGUCAGCUGUGAAAGUCCAGGGCUCAACCCUGGGAUGCCGGUGGAUACUGUCGGGCUCGAGUCCGGAAGAGGAGUGUGGAAUUCCUGGUGUAGCGGUGAAAUGCGCAGAUAUCAGGAGGAACACCAAUGGCGAAGGCAGCACUCUGGGACGUGACUGACGCUGAGACGCGAAAGCGUGGGGAGCAAACAGG
rnacentral:rRNA from 1 species